UACAGAGGGUGCGAGCGUUAAUCGGAAUUACUGGGCGUAAAGCGCGCGUAGGCGGCUUUGCAAGUCGGGUGUGAAAUCCCCAGGCUUAACCUGGGAACUGCAUUCGAGACUGCAUAGCUAGAGUAUCGGAGAGGGAAGUGGAAUUUCAGGUGUAGCGGUGAAAUGCGUAGAUAUCUGAAGGAACAUCAGUGGCGAAAGCGACUUCCUGGACGAAUACUGACGCUCAUGUGCGAAAGCGUGAGGAGCAAACAGG
rnacentral:rRNA from 1 species